rnacentral:rRNA from 1 species
GAUGAACGCUGACAGAAUGCUUAACACAUGCAAGUCAACUUGAAUUUGGGUUUUUAACUUAGAUUUGGGUGGCGGACGGGUGAGUAACGCGUAAAGAACUUGCCUCACAGCUAGGGACAACAUUUAGAAAUAAAUGCUAAUACCUGAUAUUAUGAUUUUAAGGCAUCUUAGAAUUAUGAAAGCUAUAAGCACUGUGAGAGAGCUUUGCGUCCCAUUAGCUAGUUGGAGAGGUAACAGCUCACCAAGGCGAUGAUGGGUAGCCGGCCUGAGAGGGUGAACGGCCACAAGGGGACUGAGACACGGCCCUUACUCCUACGGGAGGCAGCAGUGGGGAAUAUUGGACAAUGGACCGAGAGUCUGAUCCAGCAAUUCUGUGUGCACGAUGAAGUUUUUCGGAAUGUAAAGUGCUUUCAGUUGGGAAGAAAUAAAUGACGGUACCAACAGAAGAAGUGACGGCUAAAUACGUGCCAGCAGCCGCGGUAAUACGUAUGUCACGAGCGUUAUCCGGAUUUAUUGGGCGUAAAGCGCGUCUAGGUGGUUAUGUAAGUCUGAUGUGAAAAUGCAGGGCUCAACUCUGUAUUGCGUUGGAAACUGUAUAACUAGAGUACUGGAGAGGUAAGCGGAACUACAAGUGUAGAGGUGAAAUUCGUAGAUAUUUGUAGGAAUGCCGAUGGGGAAGCCAGCUUACUGGACAGAUACUGACGCUAAAGCGCGAAAGCGUGGGUAGCAAACAGG